UACGGGGGGGGCAAGCGUUGUUCGGAAUUACUGGGCGUAAAGGGCGCGUAGGCGGUUCGCUAAGUCGGAUGUGAAAACUCUGGGCUCAACCCAGAGCCUGCAUCCGAAACUGGCGGGCUAGAGUUCUGGAGGGGGUAGCGGAAUUCCCGGUGUAGUGGUGAAAUGCGUAGAUAUCGGGAGGAACACCAGUGGCGAAGGCGGCUUCCUGGCCUGUUCUUGACGCUGAGGCGCGAAAGCUAGGGUAGCAAACGGG
rnacentral:rRNA from 1 species